GAGAGAGAGAGAGAGAGAGAGAGAGAAGGAAACAAGAAGACCCUCCCGCCGCUUGCGCCAUUCCCUCCCGUGGCGGCGGCGACUGUCCGGUCCGGCUGCCAUGUCGACCUGCGGUUACCACUCCCCGCGGUUCUUCGAGGAUGUUGCUUGGCUCCCACAAUGGCUUCAGCCUCACCAGCCGCUGACGGUCGGCGAACACCGGACUCACAGUAUAGGCGUUUCAUCGCCUUCUUGUCAGGAGCGUCAGAAUGCCACUGCAUAAAUGCUGCUGGUUACAGUGGGUUCAUCUUGCGCUUGUCAGAACUUAAGUGGCCAGCAUGAUGUAGAAGGGGGUGGGUUCAUCUUGCGCUUGUCAGAAUUUAAGUGGCCAGCAUGCUGUAGAAGGGGCGGAAGAAGAUGGUAAGCUGGGCUUUGCCAUUCUUUUGUCAACUGCUUGUGGUAGAAGGAUGUUUCUGUAUUUGUGUAAUGUUGAUGUAGUUUUUUUUGCAUCUAUCCCUCUUAUAUUCCAUUUUACUUUGAUGCCUGAACAAACAAGCAAAGAAAUGUUUUUAGACAUAAAAAGUACACAGGGAAUAAUUGGACGUAAAAUAUUUUGAUUGAGAUAUGGACAUGCCAUUGUGUCACCUAUAACAUGUCUUUGGAUGGUGCUGGGAUCGGAGUAGUAAUAGCGUAACUUGAAGUUCUUUUCAGCAAGAGUGGCAGUAUUUGUCUGACAUGAUACCCAUGAUUUCGCCAUUCUUGUGGCACCAUUGCAGUGUGUACGAUCGAGCAAUGAAUUGAGCAGCUGGCUGGUCCUGUCUAAUGCGGAAGUCCAUCUAUCCAUGCACAUUAGAAGUUUAUCUUUUAAUAAGAUACCAUUUCAAUCAAUCAUCUUGUCAAAUACGAGUACUGGAUGAGAUUCUUUUUAAUUUGCUGUGUACCAGAUGAGGACCUUUUUUAAUUCUUGUU